rnacentral:snRNA from 1 species
UCAAUAAUCAGUUUGAAUAAAAUUGAAAUGAUACAAAGAAGAUUAGCAUAGCCCCUGAACAAGGAUGACACGCAAAUUCGUGAAGCAUUCCAUAUUUUU